GGGGAAAUAGCUCAGAUGGUGGAGCGUCUUAGAAUACAGUUCGAAUCUGUUUACAGUUUUGGUAACUCUAGGAAAGGGUGUUGGUUCGACUCCAACUUUCUCCA
rnacentral:tRNA from 1 species